UACGUAGGGUGCAAGCGUUGUCCGGAAUUAUUGGGCGUAAAGAGCUCGUAGGCGGUUUGUCGCGUCUGCUGUGAAAAUCCAGGGCUUAACCCUGGACCUGCAGUGGGUACGGGCAGACUAGAGUGCGGUAGGGGAGAUCGGAAUUCCUGGUGUAGCGGUGAAAUGCGCAGAUAUCAGGAGGAACAGCCGGUGGCGAAGGCGGCUUGCUGGGCCAGUUCUGACGCUGAGGAGCGAAAGCGUGGGGAGC
rnacentral:rRNA from 1 species